UGUUGGUCAGGCUGGUCUUGAACUGCUGACCUCAAGUGAUCCGCCAAUCUCGGCCUCCCAAAGUGCUGGGAUUACAGGCAUGAGCCACCUUGCCCGGCUGGUUGUCUUCUACUUGCAGCUGAGCAGCAAUAUCAGAAAGCAGACACAGAUAAGUUUUUCCAGGAGGGUAGAAAACAUUUUUAAUAGUCGUAGCUAAAAUUCACUGAGGGCUCACUGUUCUAAAUGCUUUGAAUCUAGUAACUUAAUUCUUCACAACAAUCCUGGGAGGUGAUUCACCCUCAAUAGGUGGCAGAGCUGGGCUGAGAAGCCACAGCCUGGUUCUGUAGUCUGGGCAUUUCAUCACAACAGGGAAACAGCUCUGAAGCUGCCGACAGGGUGAUUGCUGAUGCUGCAGAACAUUCUAGUGCUAUAGUCAAACUGGAAGAGAUGCCCAGCAAAAGAUUUGAGAGUGAGUUAGAAAUUCAGGUUCUAUUCAAGUGUAAGAUAAAAUCAUACUUAGAGAAAAUGAGCUAGUUAAUUACAUUGAGUUAAGUGCUCAAUUUUGUUUUAAAAUUAGUAUCUUCCAUGGAAAUGACAUGACAAUAUUCCAUAAUGCUUAAGUUUACCUUUUUAAUGGUUUUCGGUUGAUAAAAGUAUAAUCAAGUCGAAAUGCUUCUUAAUUUUGCCUCAGCUCAUUCCCCCGAGGGAAGGCCAUUACCAGGCCAUAGGCCAUGACCCAUAAGGGAGAGUCAAGGGGUGUAAAGGCCAUGGACUGCAGAUUCAAAUUCCUGCUCCAUCGUUUGCUAGGUAAGUUACUUACUAGGCACCUCUUUUGCAUCCUUAAUUUCUCAAAUAGGGAAAUGGAAUUAAAUCUCCUUUGCCAUGUUUUUCUGAGGACUAAAUAAGAUAUUGUAUGUAAAGAGCCUGGCAACAGAAGUCACUUAAGAAAUGGUAACUUCUUAUCUGUGCCUCCUCAUGGCAGUUUAUUGAGUUCAAAGCGUAACACUCACAGGAGAAAGAAUAUCCUCAUAUUCCAACCUUGGAAAUGCAAAAUUGGUCAUGACGGAUGUGUAAGAGCAAGAUGAAUACACAGGGGAGAAGGAAAUAGCACAGUCCCCUGCCCUAGCCUGGUGCCCCAGGCGUCCAGGCAGGGAGUGACACUGGGUCAGGUGGCUGGGAGUCAGCUGGCCUGCUGAGGUCCACUGGGGCCAGAGGAGAGAAGAGCAGCGAGGGGAAGACAGUCAGCUCCUUUCAAAGCCUCUCGCCCGGCCGGGUACAGUGGCUCACACCUGUAAUCCCAGCACUUCAGGAGGCCGAGGCUGCCGGAUCUCCUGAGGUCAGGAGUUCGAGACCAGCCUGACCAACAUGGUGAAAUCCUGUCUCUACUAAAAAAAAUACAAAAAUUAACUGGGCGCAUAGUCCUAGCUGCUCAGGAGGCUGAGGCUGGAGAAUCACUUGAACCCGGGUGGCAGAAGUUGCAGUGAGCCGAGAGCCCACCACUACACUCCAGCCUGGGCCACAGAGUGAGACUCUGUCUCAAAAAAAAUGAAUAAAUAAAACCUCUGGUAUUUCACAGGCCCACCAUGAGUCUCCACUCUACAACCCCUGCAUCCCUUGGUGAUGCAAACAAAGACAGAAUAGCUGGAAAUAUGGCUCCAUUACAUUAUACUAUUACAGAUUAGAGGUCUGUAAUCUGCAGAUAGGCUGUAGGGUGGUUGACAAUAAAGUACUUCCAAUCCCCAUAGAAACCUGCCUUUGAUAUCUCUCGUUUGAGGAGUCCAAACAGUCUUGAAAAUAAUAAACUCAUUAUUGCUCCCAAUAUUGCUAAAAAACAAAGAAAAGGAGAGGGAGAGAGAGAGACUCCUCCAGGGCCCCAGUUGGUGGACACAGUUAUUGGGCUCUGUUGAGCACUAAAAGCCAAGGAGGGGCGCACACAUUACAAGUGUACAAGGUGCUUGUGAGGGCAAAAUUCACCUAACAACUAAAUGGCAGAGAUCAAGGAACAGUGAAGUAGUUGGGCUUUCCCUGAGAGUUAGGACUCCAGCAGGAUGAGGGGAGGCUUGAUUAUUUUGUUUGUAAGCACUGCUUGAACUUUUCUGAGGGCUGUGGGGGCACAUUUACCUGAGGACUUCCUGGGGACCUUCUGUGAGGAAAGCGAUUAAAAGGAUUAAAGCCCCAACACCUCUUCCCCGAGAUUCAAAGUUACUGAAAUUCACUGAGGUGAACUAAAGGUGAGUGGGUGACCACAGCCAUACCCAAGCACAAGAAAGGCAAGGAAGCCCCUGAAAAUCACCGUGAAGGAAGAAUGUGACAGGACUAAAAAGAGAACAGCAGAGGAGCCUGUCCCCUAAUGCAGGGGUCCCCAGCCCCAGCCCACGGACUGGUACCCGGUUCAUGGCCUGUUAGGAACCCAACCCCACAGCAGGGGGUAAGUGGCAGGUGGGAGGGCAUUACUGCCUGAGCUCCACCUCCUGUCAGAUCAGCGCCAGCACUGGAUUCUCAGAAAAGCAGGAACCCCAUUGUGAACUGCGCAUGCUAGAGGAAUCUAGGUUGCACAGUCCUUAUGAGAAUCUAACUAAUGCCUGAUGAUCUGAGGUGGAACAAUUUCAUGCCGAAACCACCCCUCCCACUCACACCCCACUCCCCCAUCCGGGCAGUGUGUCUUCAUGACUGUCAAUGACUCUACGAUGGUGUCACUGGGAGUCUGGCCCGUGUCUGUGGGAAGUCCUCCUGACUGCAAGUAGCACCUAAGUGGGUAGAGGGCCAGGCUGGGUGGGCAUCCUGCUUUCCUUCUGAAGAACUAUGAGCAUCACUGAGGACCAGAAGCAGAGCUUGAGCCACACCACCUCCAGGAAGCCCUCUUAGCUAUGCAAGGAGAGAAUCUCUCCAGACCCUUGGAUUUCAGCUGCUUCUGGCAUCCAUAGGAGCACCUGACAGCUGAGGCCAUACAUCUGGGAAAUCAAAGCUGCUGAAAGAAAGCCUAGCAAAACUAAGUACUGAGAUAUUUCACAAGAUUGAGGCAUUGGUUUAUUUACUAUUAUUAUUAUGUUAUUGUGUUGCUAUUAUUACAUAUAUUUCUACACCACUUUGUUUCACAAAAGGCUUAUAAUGGGAAAGACUUAUUGAAUAGUGUUCCAUAGAAGAGGUUUAAUCUCAAAGUUCAGGUUAUUUGGUAUUUGCUGGGUGACACCAUUUCAAAACUAUCAAGGUUUAAUGUGAAAUUAAUUUAAGAUUUCAAUGAUCUGGUUUUCAUUUUAAACCUUGUAUUAAAAUAAAGUAUCAAUCAGAGUUACAGCUUUGCGUGUGCAUGUGUGUGCAUGUAUGCAUGUUUAAUUUCCAUUCCACAUUGUUCCAUAAAGGAUCUGAGGGCACAAGUACUAUAACUUUGCAAGUUAGUGAGAAUGCCUAAAAUACUAGUAAAGGCUUAUCUUUCAGCAGGGAUUCACCAGUUGUUGUCUGCCAUUUUUCCAUUGAUGAAUAGAAUUUUGAUAAUAUGCCUUUUUAAUAUAAUUUCAACUUUUAUUUUAGAUCCAAGGGGUACACGUGCAGGUUUGUUAGCUGGGUAUAUUGCAUGAUGCUGAAGUUUGGGGUAUGACUGAUCCCAUCACCCAGGUACUAAGCAUAAUGCCCAAUAGUUUUUCAACUCUUGCCCCCCUCCCUCCUCAUUCUAGUAGCCUCCAUUUUCUAUUGUUGCCAUCUUUAGUCUAUGAAUACCCAAUAUUUAGCUCCCACUUGUAAGUGAGAACAUGCAGUAUUUGGCUUUCUGCUCCUGCGUUGAUAACACAUUUGAAAUAUGCUUCUUCACCCUUAGAUGUUUCACUACUAGAGUUUUAUUACCUUUCAGCACAACAGAGGAGAGUGGAGAUACAGACUUAGAUAGAGGAGCAGACUCACUUCUGUGGCUCUUGCCACAAAUUUUCUUUUGAAGGUUCUGAAAGCUCCGAAUACAGUUAUCUGAUUUAUUCUAGGUACACUUGGGCCAGUGAAAUUCUAGGCUCUAAAAUAGAAAGUUUUAGAAAGAGCUCAAUGAAGCUUUAUUUCUUGUACAAUAAAUCCAUCUCAGCAAAGAGAGCCUGCCAUUACAUGGAACUCAGCAUCUACUGAGGCAAGUAAGAUUCACGCUCCUGAAGACAAAGCAGGAAGUCAGCUCAUUAAGGCUGUUAUCUUGCUUCUGACUCUAUCUUGCUUUGUGCAGUCUUCACUGUCUCAAGUGCUAUAUUGUCUGUGUGGUAUUUCAUUUUAAAAUUCUUCCGUUUGCUGCUGAUUGGUUGGUUUAAUAGAAAAAUAAAUAAAUAAAAUUUUUCAGUUGAGACAUUGUGAUGUAGUUGUAUAUACAAGUUAACUCUAAUCUAUCCUCCAAGAGGGGAGGCUAGAAUUUAAAAUACCCUGUUUGGGGGAUCCAGCAGUUAACUACUGCUGGAGUUGGUUAACUCAAAUGAAGCACCCUAGCCAGAGUCAACAUCUUCUAAGAUGGUCCACUUAGCAUUUAAAUAUAAUUAACUAAACCCAUGCCAGGAGGCUUACUAACAUAAUGGAUAUUUAAAAUAGUUUCUAAUUGGUGAGGUGAGUAGUAAUCAAACCAGAUGGUUGGUUAGGGGUGUUAUACCAGAAACUCUGCCCUUACCUGAAUGAAGCAUAAGCAUUGGCAAGCCCAGCUUUCUGAAUACAAAUGGUGCAAGCUUGCAGUCUAGACCCCCAAGUUGCUUCUACGUCCUCCACUUCACACAGCACCCUGUACCUGACCCUGUACAAAACUGGACACACCUGCCAUCAGAAUAUGCUUGUCCUAAAUUCAACUAAGCCUUUUAUGGGGAAUGCUGAACAGACGACUCAAAGGUAAAAGAGGGCCCAAGGAUAAAGACUGGGACUUUCCUAGCUACAUGCCAUGUUUAAGACUGUUUUUGAGACUUUUUGUGAAUAAAUGUCUAGGUAUUGUCAGAAUAUUUUCUAAAACCUCUUUUCAUUGUAAUAUGACUCCUGGUAGCCAGGUUGUGAAGGAAGGAAUAUACUGACUCCCCCAACACUUCCUCACUUCCGAUGGUUGGAGCCUAUUAAUAUUUACCAGGAAAUUUUUAUAUUUGCCAAAACGAUUGGCUUGGGUAGAAUGCCAUGCCAUGCAAAUUUCAAAUUCAUGUUUUCAUAUAGAGAAUUAAGCUAAAGAUGGUUAGCUUAAGGUUGUGGGGUUUUUCUUUGAAUUUUGGGACUCCGAUUGCAUUCUGUAAAUGUCCCUUAAUGAAGGAACUAUUUGGUGGGCCUUAUACUUGUCCCUGAACACCCUUUAACUGUGACUUGUAGGAUAAUUUCUGAACCCAUUUAAAUUCUGGAAACCUGAGAGUUGCCUGUCUAAGCAGUAGCUGUGCUCCUUCUGUGGCAUCUUCUUGUAAAAUAUUGGAUUCUAAACUGGUUGCAGUGGAAACCCAGGGCCACUGAGGGAAGAGUGGAAGCCAGAUAGAGUGUCCCCUCCUUCUGUGCUGGCUGGGACAGGCAAUCUCAGCCCAGGGGUCGGGGAGAGGAACCGGGAUUCAUACCCGCAGGAUUUUGUUUGAGAUUUCAUGCCUAUCAAGUUCAUCCUCAAAGAACCCAAUGUCAUUCUGAUUUAUUAUUAUUAUUUGAAUGAGAGUCAACCACCGACUAAUUGUGUCUGGGAUAUGUCAGCCCCAAGCCUGCCUUAGGGCAAAAGGUUGGACAAGAUAAUUAGGACUGUGAGGAGGAAUUGAGAGACUUCCUGUGGAAGUAUCAGAGUAGAAGAAGCCAACACAAAAAUCUGGCAUCAGUAAUGGUCUUUCUUUUAUUCUCCUCUCAGGACGGUUUGGAACUUUGGGAUCCUUGAAGGACCCCGUGGCCUAGCAGAUGAGCACCCUGCCUGCGGCUGCAGGGCAAUGUCACAGAGAACCCCUAGGGGGAAGCACUCAGGCACAAGUCUCAGUGAGAUUCUCAGCGGCAGGGCUGUGCAUGCAUCCGGGGACACCAUCUCCUGUUUCUCACAUAAAGAUUACGGCACAGGCAAAGAUAAGGAACAUUUUCCUAACAGUAAGAAGGCUUUGAAUCCAAGAAAGCAACAAACCAGAGCAGACUCAUUUGAAACAUGAACAGAGUGAUGUGGCCAAAGGAAUCCAAGCCAGGUUUCACCAGGUUCCUAUUGUGAACACACUGGAUGUUUAUAUGAGAAUCCCAGUGUAUAGCAAUCAUAACUAGAUAAUAAUUAUGCUUAAGAUUUGGUCCUCUUUCCAUAUAUGGAUUCAGUCCUUUUCUGUCAUUUUGUCAUUUUCAUGGAAUCUGGAGUUACGGAACCAUCCAAUGUUUAUUACAGAGAAUGACCACCCAUAAGCCUCUCCAUGCUUAUGGAAGCAACAGUUCUGGGGCCGCUGGCUGCAUAUUCCUUCCAGGUGUUUAUUUCUGGGUCUACAUCAUGUCCCUCACUCAUCAAUUUAACUCUAUCCAGAGAAUUCCUCUAUGGUCUUCAUCAGAUUAGGAAGUAAAUCAUCAGUCACUUCAAAUAUUUCAAGCUUGGUUUUCUUUGACAUAAAUCAGUUCUCCUGACUACAAUUCCUGGAAAAUAUUGUAGAGCCCAGCAGCAUUGCAGUAUUUCAACCUUCAUUUGAGUUGCCUGUGACCCAGAUGUGAGCUAGUGCUUCCACAGUCUCAGAUGUCUGGGUGAAUCCACCAAUUCUACACCUGUGAACAUCCCUGCCUUUGAUUCUUUCUAAUUGUCAGGAAACUUGCACUCAUAAUCCCUCCUGCCUCUGGCUCCUGGGUCCAUAUGUACUGGCUCUGUAUCAGCCUCUCUCAACCCAGGUGUAAUACUCAGCCCUUUGUCAUUUUAUACAAAACAAUUCACACUUUAAGCAUUUCUUGAGUAAUACUUUGUACAAGUAAUACCUUGGGAUGCAGAGUGAGAGUAUGUGGGUGGGUCAUGUUACAUAGUUCCAGGCUUCCCAAGGUCCUCUACCUCUAGGCUCUCUGUCCUGUCCUCUCUUCCUUCCUUAUUUUCCCUGGGAGCUCCAUGACCUUCUCCCUCUAUCAGACAAAUUAGCCCAGUUCCCCUUAGCUCCUACCGCUAAGUGUCCAUCAAGGCCCUCAGCGAAACAAAGUGUGUUCUGUUUAACAAAAUCUAUGUUCCUUAGAACAUAGCUAGAAUAUAAAUAACAACAAAAGUUCAGGUGCAUAUAUAUAUUAGUUGAUGAAAUCAAGUAUAAAUCUCUGCCUCCAUUGAAAGAUAGCACAAUGUUUUAGAGAAGGAACUGAAUUAGGAAUCAGUCUAUUCGAAUUUGAGGCCCAGCAGCACCCUUCACUAGACAGGUGAAAAAGCCAGCAAUUCAUUUUCGGUCUCAGUUCAUCAUCUGAAGAGUGAAAAUGUUACAAAUAUUUUGAAUCAUUAUGCUGAUUAAAGGAAAUAACUUAUUCACAUGCACUCUGAAACAUUAGAGCAGCGUUUCUCAGGACUUUUUUAGUUUUACCAUGACUGAGAGUGCUGCUGGCACUUUGGAGGAGGUGCUGGGGAUGCGAGGUGGCUGCCAAUGUGGAAAAAUUGUAUAUAACACAGUACUGCCUAAUUAUCAAUAACAUACCCAUUGAGAAAUGCUACAUCUGAACACAGUAUAAAUGAAAGGUACGUUACUUCUGACCUUCCAUCUUUUACACAAAAUGCUGAUGAAUUUCUUCAUGGUGUAGAUAAUUCUUUUAAACAAUUUUCCUCAUUCUGGAUUAUUUUAGCCCAAUCUUUGUUCCAAGGUGAUAGUUUCUCUGCCUUCCAAUGAUGCUGCCAACAUUUUAAUUGCAAUCUUGAGCUUCCUUCUAUACAGAGUGCUUCCAUUUAGGGUAUCUUUGUUUGAUCUCUCAGUUGAAACUACAUUUUACCCUCCAGAAAACAAAAAGAAGAAAGACAAAUUAUGGGUAAAGGCUGAGAGAAUUUUCCACGUGGUGAAGGCAAGCAGUAUGAGGAAGCAGGUGAGCUAAGUACCCACGGGGCAGCUAUUCGGGCCAGUAGUUGUUUUCCCAAGGCCAGCGUCACCUGGUGUAAACAGCUGGUGGGCUUUUAAUCAGGCUUCAAAUCUCUUUCCCACCUCUCCUCUUCUGAUUGCAAUAAGCAAUGUAGCCCUAACUAGGGCCCAGACUUCCAGACUGCAGACUUCCAGGAGCAACACAGUUCUAUCCCCAUUCUGUGACUUGCCAUCUGCCCAUGAAGCCUUGAGAGGGUCCAUCAUCUGCAGGCCUGACUCCUGAUUUGCUCUCUUGGCUGUGGUGAAGCACUGUGGUCACCCACAUACACUCUCCCUUUAUCCUCAGGCAAGGACUCAGGGCUGCUACUCCUACCACAGAGGUAGAUGGACCCCAUGAGGUGGGUUUGGGGGAGGAUUAGCAUGUACUUUCUUUGGGCCAAGAGCCAAAUGAGCAUUUACACUCAUCUUACCAACACUACAUCCUUAGGGUUUAGAGAGCUGUUUUGAAAUGCUUGAUACAGUGAGGGUGCUCAGAGAUAUUUCAUCACUUAUAUAAGAGGGGGGACCCCUGCCUCUAUAGGCUUAUGGAGGAAUGUGAUUCAGAUGAGAGUAGGAGGGCCUAACUGGCUGGGAAGGUAUGGAAUCUGUAAGCCAGUUAUACUCCUAUUUCCAGUCAACAGGCUGAACCCAUAAGUUUUUGUUUUUAGAUGAUAUCUCUGAUUAUUUUGACAAUGUCACUUCUCUGAAACUUUCAAUGACUCUCUCUGCUGAUAGAAAAAUUCCAAUUUCCUUAGCCUUUCAUUGAAUCUAUCCAUAAUUUGGGUCCAACCUACUUUUCUAGUCUUCUAUUUUGUAACUCCCCUCGCAAAUCUUACACCCCAGCAGUUUUGAAUUAAAACAAAACAAAACAAACUUUUUCUUCCCUGAAAACAGGUCCUCCAGCUGGUCCUACUAUUAGUUAAUGAGCAAAAUGACCCUGGCAAAUCAUUAACGUCUCAAAAUCCCAGCAGCCUAGCUUUUAAAAUCCAGUGGCAAGACCUUGGCUGAUGAAUUUUUCACAAGUUGCCCAGGUGAAUCUAACACAUCAAACAUCUGGACCUAAAGCCCUCUUCAACUAUGAUUUUCCCACACAUUCCCCAAGCACUGCAAUUCUCUGUCUCCACGUGCUUAUCAAAGUAUCUUUUCCUGGAAUGCUUCACUUUCUCUCUGCUUAACCCUGUAAACUCAGGUGCAUACACACAUGCACACCUGUGCACAUACACACACGCCAAGGCCCUUCAAGAUCAGCUCCAACACUGCCCUCUCCAGAAGGUCUUGCCUAAGGUUGGAGCUCACCUUUCAAUGCCCUCUUUCUUCAAACAGCUUUAAAUAGCAUUUAUCACGAUUAUUCCUUGGUGGGUCUUAGCUCACCACCGGUAGACUGAAACUUGUUGAGAGUAUUCCUUCUUGCUCACCUUUCAUUUUCCACAUUAAUCGUGAAAGUAGCUUGUGAGAGUUGGUUGAAUUGAGUUAAAUUAACCUGACAUGAAUUAAUUGAGAGACAUCUUGCUGAAGGUGACAAGUUGGAGGCUCUUGGGAGGAUUAUAGAUAAGGGUGGAGGGCUUGUGUCUCCUGACCUAUGUCUCUGCCUAUCGUGGAACUCUUACCAGGCACAUCCCCUAUCUGUCUCUAUCCACAUGUGAUUGUGGACUCAAAAUCAAAAGAAGGGCUGCAGCUGUUUUUUGUCAAAAUCGGACAAUUUUAUAUCUGUAAUCUUGCAGCCAGAGCGGUUGAGCUGAUAUAUUUCAUGACUCACUCUAGACAGAUUAAAGUCUGUCCCUGAGAAACGAGGAGGGGGAACCAUUAAUCUUUCCUAAAAUAAACAGAGAGUUAUAACAGCUCUUUAAUCUGAAAAGUGGAGAUCCUGAGCUGGAACACAGCACCCAAGGGCGCGCCAAAUUCCACGAUGAGUAAAGAGUGCCCAGAUAAUAAUUGAUUGUGGGAUCCUCUUCCCUGUGGUCCCUGAGGGGCGUUCACAGUGUCGCCAGCAUUUAAAGAGGCUUUGGCAAAGUAUCUGUCCCAGCUCCAUAUGAAAGAAAGACUUGUCAUCAUCUGAACCCUUUGGGACACUUGCUUUGCUAAGCUUGCAUGGAAGCUUUGGGGUGCCUAUGCAAUUAGCAUUUCACUCUUGGUGGCCUACCACUGUGUCCCAUCCAUGCGUCUCCCACCCAGCCACCCCCAUCCACAGGAGUUCUUGCUUCUCCCCAGGCAUGGCAGAGUUUCUCCUCUACUUUCCCAGUACUCCCUCACUAAACCCUGAAAUUUGGCCAAUUCCGCCUUCAGGGUCAUCAAGCAUCACCUUUCUUUAUGCCAGUGAGGCUCAACAGUCUCUCUCCACUGCAUCCUGCUCCACCUCCCAGGACACAGCAACCAGUGGAUUCCCUUUCCUUCCUUGGUUUCCAACCUGAUUCUCCUUUGCUUCUCCCUCUGACCUUCUCUGAUGCCUCUUCCUUGUCUGUCAUUUAAUUAUCAGUAUCCCCAAACUUCUUCCUCAAGUCAGCCUCUCUUCUCCCUCUACAUUCUCUUUCUUGACAAUGUCAUUUAUUCCCACAGAACCUCAAUGACAAAGACUCUCAAACAAAUUACCUGUUCCCAAGCUACAGACUCAUUCUUUGAAUGGCCUGAUAGACAUCAUUUGGACAUUUUACUGGUAUCUCACACUUACCAUUUCCAAAUCUAAUGGAUUAUCUGUGAUUCACCCCACCUCCAGCCCCUCUUCAAAUAAGCUCUAGUGCCUAUUUUCCUUAUUUCCUACAGUAGCACACAAUUACUCAGUCACUUUAUACUUUAACUCAUGGAGCAUGUACAGCUCUUAGGUUCUUCUCCAUUCCUCUCUCUGACAUGCCUCUGUUUACCAAAUUCUUAGAGUACAGUCCUAUAGAUUCUGUGUCUAAAUUGUUUCUGGUAAGUAUUUUCUCCUGUCCACAUUCAUGACCAUAACUCAGGCUCUUACUAUUUUUUGUCUCAUAAUAGCUUUGUUACUGGUUGUCCUGCUUCAAACAUUGUUCAGUUUAUCAUAUUCUUGCAGAAGAAUUUUUCUAAACCACAGACAGGAACAUAUUCCACUGCACAACUUUCAAAGACUGAGUACUCCCCAUUGCCUGCUGAUUGUAUCAGAAAAUCUUCAGCCCAGAAUCUAAUGCCCUCCAUAAUAUGACUCCCACCUACUUUUCCAAUCUCAUUUCCCACCAGAGUCAAGUGUGACUACUCACUGUCCCAUGUAAACACGCCAACUUGCAUGCCUUACUGCCUUUGCACCAUUCUCUCAUUCUGCACUGCCCCAAAUAUCCCUUUUCUGCCACCUAAGUCUUUCUGUGACGAUCUUACCAAGGAUCAAGGCCAUCUCCAAGCCACCUCUUUCCUGAAACCUUUCCUAAUCUCUCCAAUGUUGGAGAGCACUCUUCCUUUCAGCCCAUGCCGUACUUUUCUGUGAUUUCCUUCCUUCCUUCCUCCCUUCCUUCCCUCCUUUCUUUUUCUUUCUUUCUUUUUUUGACAGUCUUAGCCUGUCGCCCAAGCUGAAGUACAGUGGCGCAAUCUCAGCUUGCUGCAACCUCUGCCUCCCAGGUUCAAGCGAUUCUCAUGCCUCAGACUCCCAAACAGCUGGAAUUACAGGGGUAUGCCACCAUGCCCAGCUAAUUUUUGUAUUUUUAGUAGAGACAGGGUUUCACCAUGUUGGCCAGACUGGUCUCAAACUCCUGACCUCAAGUGAUCUUCCCACCUCGGCCUCUCUAAGUGCUGGGAUUAAAAGCGUGAGCCACUGUGCCUGGCCCCUUUCUGUGAUUUUUCAUUGUAAUUUAUGUGCUCUUAUUUUAUUCCCUUCAUUAAGUGGAUAGUUAUCAACCUUUUUCACCCUUAUGAAGGAUGACAAUCAUACUU
rnacentral:lncRNA from 10 species